rnacentral:tRNA from 1 species
GCCCCCGUAGCUCAGUCAGGAUAGAGCAGCGGUUUCCUAAACCGCGAGUCGGACGUUCGAGUCGUCUCGGGGGCACCA